GGCCACUAAAAAUAACUCAGCCCUGCUGUCUAAAUAGGUGUUUACCUUUAGCAGCCUUAGACACAUAUACCGCUGAUGUAUUCACACUGUGUUUGUUACCCUGAAUGUAAAUGGGCUAAAUGCCCCCAAUCAAAAGACACAGGCUACCAGAAUGGAUACAAAACAAGACCCAUCUCCUACAGACGCCUGGGUGGCUCAAUUGGUU
rnacentral:lncRNA from 1 species